rnacentral:ncRNA from 1 species
UUUUUCAAAAAAUCCGGUGAAAAGGGAAACAGGUGCAAAUCCUGUGCGAUCCCGUCACUGUAAAGGAGUUGGGCCAUUAUGCCACUGCCAUCUGGUGGGAAGGCGGCCCGGUGCACAAGCUCCUAAGCCAGGAGACCUGCCUGAGAAGU